GAUGAAGAACGCAGCGAAAUGCGAUAAGUAAUGUGAAUUGCAGAGUUCAGUGAAUCAUCGAAUCUUUGAACGCACAUUGCGCCCGCCAGUAUUCUGGCGGGCAUGCCUGUUCGAGCGUCAUUUCAACCAUCAAGCCCCCGGCUUGUGUUGGGGACCUGCGGCUGCCGCAGGCCCUGAAAAGCAGUGGCGGGCUCGCUGUCACACCGAGCGUAGUAGCAUACAUCUCGCUCUGGGCGUGCUGCGGGUUCCGGCCGUUAAACCACCUUCAUAACCCAAGGUUGACCUCGGAUCAGGUAGGAAGACCCGCUGAACUUAAGCAUAUCAAUAAGCGGAGGA
rnacentral:misc_RNA from 1 species